AGCUAAGCCAUUUUAUGAUCAUUUGUAGCUCUUUCUGUGUUUAAAUAUGUACACUGCUGCACGCAGUUGUCUUACAGUUCCUAGUGAUAUUCUAAAAUUAAAUAGCUUGUCAAAUAUAAGAAACACACCAAUGUUAUUAAUGACAGCCUUUAUGUCAGCAAGCACUGCUGCAUACAAGAAAUACACUCUCUAGGCAACCCUGUAUUUUGUCCCCUGGGAGGACACAAAAGGCCAAAGGUGAUUAUCUCUUCAUUGAUCCUACCAUGUGUUUUAUCGUGGAAUAUUUUAAUGACUUUGAGAAGUUUUCUUUUGGAUAUCAGUCUUGAUCAGUUCUCUAUGCUUUACUUGCAACUAAUGAGAUGCAAACGUCACAUCGGCUGCAUCCCACUUGAGUCUGAAACUACACUGUGCAGGUAGCUUCCAGUUUGAGGUUUUCUUUGAUACAGACUGUCACACAAUAUUCUAGGUAUGAGUUUGCCAAAGCCCAAGACCAAUCAUAUACCACUAAAAUUGCUGCUUUCUGAAUUUUCGUACUUCCCCUUAAGGACAGCAAUGGUAGUGGCACUACUUCAGUUUUCCAGGUGCUCAGAAAAAGCCUAUCUACUUGCCUGUACCACUUUGUAUUUCUACUUAAAAAUAUGUAUGAAAUGUUCCCUUCCUCAUUACUUUAACUGAUUUUUUAAUUUUCUAAGGGAUGGGACUGCAUCCACACUGCUUGUCUAUUGUGCUUUUUCUGGUUUACAUUUCAAUAUUUGAUGUUAUAUUUGAAAGAUCAAAUAAAUGCUAUUAACACCUGUGAAGAAUUUUUUUUUUUUUUUGACAGUAAUCAGUGUAUGUCCCACCUGCAGAGCUAGGGAGAACUGCAGAAGGGGUCAAGUCUGCAUCCUUUCCAGCACAGCCACCAGACCUUCAUCUUCCAGAGGGUGUCCUUGCUACUGUCAUCACUCAGAAACUUGGCAGAUACGUUUUCAGUGGCAACUGUGCACAGAGAGCUUCUUUCAGGAGUAGCUGCGUUCCUGACUCAGACAAGACUGCACGUGAAUGAAUGGUAGCAGCCGCCUUGGAAAUGACUUUGUUAUUUAUCAGAGACUGUUUGAACAUAUGCCAGUUUCCCCCACAAGGCCUCAUUCAGGACCCAUCAGGAUCAAUGGAAAAACUCCAGUUAAUAAGACCUUGAUGCAAGUCCAGAUCUGAUUUCAAAAGUCUCCCAAGAAGGAUCUACUUAUGGUAAUAGAGAUUAUGGUACUUGAUAACUGUCAUGCAUAGGUAUAUUUUUAAUAUGACAGAAAGUGUAUAUGCUCCCACUCCCCUACAGAAAAGCUCACGUGUCCUUGGGUUUUUGGCAGAUGUUGAAAACAGACCAGAAGCA
rnacentral:lncRNA from 1 species